UACGUAGGGGGCAAGCGUUGUCCGGAAUCAUUGGGCGUAAAGAGCGUGUAGGCGGCUCGGUAAGUCCGCUGUGAAAGUCCAGGGCUCAACCCUGGAAUGCCGGUGGAAACUGUCGAGCUAGAGUCCGGAAGAGGCGAGUGGAAUUCCUGGUGUAGCGGUGAAAUGCGUAGAUAUCAGGAGGAACACCGGUGGUGUAGACGGCUUUCUGGACCGUAACUGACGCUGAGACACGAAAGCGUGGGUAGCAAACAGG
rnacentral:rRNA from 1 species